GGAUGCGUAGCUCAGCGGGAGAGCACUGCCUUCACACGGCAGGGGUCACAGGUUCAAUCCCUGUCGCAUCCACCA
rnacentral:tRNA from 1 species